CCCGUCACAUCACGAAAGUGGAUUGUACUAGAAGUCUGCAGGCUAACCCGCAAGGGAGGCAGCGGCCCAAGGUAUGAUUCAUGAUUGGGGUGAAGUCGUAACAAGGUACCC
rnacentral:rRNA from 1 species